GGAUCCAGACUUUGAUUCUGGCUCAGGAUGAACGCUAGCUACAGGCUUAACACAUGCAAGUCGAGGGGCAGCAUGACGAUAGCUUGCUAUUGUUGAUGGCGACCGGCGCACGGGUGAGUAACGCGUAUCCAACCUGCCCUUGUCCAUCGGAUAACCCGUCGAAAGGCGGCCUAACACGAUAUGCAGUCCACAGAAGGCAUCUGACGCGGACGAAAUGUAAAGGAGAAGGAUGGGGAUGCGUCUGAUUAGCUUGUUGGCGGGGUAACGGCCCACCAAGGCGACGAUCAGUAGGGGUUCUGAGAGGAAGGUCCCCCACAUUGGAACUGAGACACGGUCCAAACUCCUACGGGAGGCAGCAGUGAGGAAUAUUGGUCAAUGGGCGAGAGCCUGAACCAGCCAAGUAGCGUGCAGGAAGACGGCCCUAUGGGUUGUAAACUGCUUUUAUGCGGGGAUAAAGUGAGCCACGUGUGGCUUAUUGCAGGUACCGCAUGAAUAAGGACCGGCUAAUUCCGUGCCAGCAGCCGCGGUAAUACGGAAGGUCCGGGCGUUAUCCGGAUUUAUUGGGUUUAAAGGGAGCGUAGGCCGUCUGGUAAGCGUGUUGUGAAAUGUCGGGGCUCAACCUGGGCAUUGCAGCGCGAACUGUCAGACUUGAGUGCGCGGGAAGUAGGCGGAAUUCGUCGUGUAGCGGUGAAAUGCUUAGAUAUGACGAAGAACUCCGAUUGCGAAGGCAGCCUGCUGUAGCGCAACUGACGCUGAAGCUCGAAAGCGUGGGUAUCGAACAGGAUUAGAUACCCUGGUAGUCCACGCGGUAAACGAUGGAUGCUCGCUGUUUGCGUCUGACGUAAGCGGCCAAGCGAAAGCGUUAAGCAUCCCACCUGGGGAGUACGCCGGCAACGGUGCAACUCAAAGGAAUUGACGG
rnacentral:rRNA from 1 species